AUACAAAGGGGACCUGAAACCAGGAAGCCCUAGGAUUCGAUGAGGGGAGAACAAUCUGGCAGUGAGCUGACUUCUACCAAAGCAACCUGGAUCAGGAAGCUGGUGGAGGAGAGCCUGGAACCCCUUUGGUGAGUGUUCGUAGCUGAAAUUUCUCUGACACAAAUCUUUUGGUUUGUGCUCCUUGUGGUUGGGCUCUCUUGGGGGAACUCUGAGAUGCCAACAAUGGUCACUCCUGAACUCCAUCCACCAACACCAGCUGGUCUCCCUGGUUCACCAUCUACUUUCCUCACAUAUUAUCAGACUCCUCAAAUGGCAAUAGGACAAGACUAAAUGAGGGCAGCAAAGGAUGAGGAGUAGUACCCGCAAAAUUGUCUGAUUUGUGGAAAAAGGAAAAAAAUACACUCAGGCAUAAACCGGAGGAAAAGACACUAAAUGUUGGUACAGGUUAUGAUGGGGGUUUCAUUUGCAACCAAUUUUUAUUUUCGCCGUUGCACGCAUCUGUGUUUUCUUAAAAUGUCUAUUUAAAAACCUCUCCUCUGAUCACAUAAAAAGGAAUUAAGUUCUAUGUAGAAAACUAUCCAUGUGAUGGGGGGCACUGGCUAGUUGCAACCAGUUUGCAGCCAAACAUACAAGAUGGUAUCUGAGUGUGAGAAACCCAGCGGCCUCUCAGGGAGACCGAGUCACAGGACUUGUCAAUCACCCGUCUUUUGCAAAAGAUUGUGCUUUGUUGGUUAGCUUAAUAUGUCGAAAAGGGGAGCUUCCACGUUCUCACCUGGUGAACCACAAUGAUUUCCUUUCUUUGAGAAGAGAGAGGCGGUUAUGAUUUUAUCUGAGCUACUUUUUCUCUUCAGGUGGAAGCUUAGCUUUGCUCCAGACAUGAUCACUUUCUUGUGAACUUGUUUCUAUGUCUUUUGCUUGGGGAGAAGGUAUUUGGUGGACUGAAGUGCAGCUUGUUUUUGAAGCUUCAUUGUGGAAAGCCAUAGUUAAAAUAUUGAUAUCCAUUGAGUAUCAGUCAAAGGAUAGAGCCGUUUGUACAAAUGCUAAUGCGUAGCAAGAUACAGCUUUAAAGGGCUUCUUCGUGUUUUGUUGUAACUAAAGGAAGUACCUGUCUAGUGGGAUGGCUUUGUUUACUCCAUAGAUUUCUGACCUGACCUAGGAGAUCCUUCUCACCUGUUCGGCCUCGAUUUGGCAUUAGUCCUUGUCUAGCCUUCUGUCCUGCAACCUCCGAGGUGUCUCUUUGACUGAAGCCAUUGUCUAUUUGUUUUAUCUUCCCUAUUCAGUUACAGUUCAUCAGGGGCAAGUGUCAAGCCGGUUAUAUUUUGGCAGUGUCCGUUGUCUGUCAGGGUUUCUGGUAUACACUAGUAGCUUAAUUCAUUAACAGCAAACAAAUGAAUUUCAAAUCUAUUCAUUGGCCACUUAUUCAUUCAUUUAGUCAGUCACUCGCUCAGUAUUUUUUGAGCACCACUCUAGGCCAGUCAUGUUUAACGUGCUGGGGACACAAACCUAAACAGACUGAAAUUGAAUCUUUGGCAAACUUAUAUCCUAUCGGGUGAGACCCAUUAUUGCACAAAGGUUUAAUUUCCUUGCUGAAGUGAUGAGUUCGGAUCCCUGGGGGUUCAUCUGAAAGAAGGUAGGAAGACACUUUGAGGGGCCUUUUCCUUUCUCUAAGGAUGUCAUCAGGAUCAGGAAACAGAUAAAACCUUUAAAGAAGACCUAUCAUUUCAAAAUUUUGACUGAGAACUUGAUGAGGCUAAAGGUACUGGCCAGAUCCUUCUUUCACUGGGGAAUUGGUCUGACAUGGAGGGGGUGAAACAAAAGCUGGCCUCUGUCAUAACAACUUAAAUCAUCCCCCUUCUUUCCCUCAUAGUCCCCACAUUAGAAUGUUGGCUCAGAGGCAACGAGGGGCUAGGAUAAAGGAAGAUCACAGGGCCUGGCGCUGGGGCUAGAGUUGGGAGCAAGGAGAGGCGGAGACCUGAGAGGAGAGGCAUCACCUACGGAAUUCUCCAGAAUUUUAGGACGGGUGCAAGACUUCCUACGGGGUGUGGGAUGGAGCCCCAAGCCUGGUCCGUGACCUUCUCUUCCAGUGGAGAGAGCAGCUCGUCGGCACAUCUUGAGAGGAACCCCAGUGUGUUUAUUUGGUUAGUCUUCGUGUUGGCCUCACUCCCAGCAAAUCCAAGCAUUUGAAAGUAUCUCUGGGAAUCAGAAGGUCUCAUUUAAAAGCCUUUCACUCAUAUUUGGAAACAGACUUUCCCUAAAUGAAAAAUAGACUGGCUAUAAAUCAGAGUUCACAUGAUGUAACAUUCUGAAUUAAUCUCUGUGGUUUAGUGAAACUUUUUAGGAUACUUUCAUUGCAACAGCCCUGUAGGUCUUAGCAACCAUUUUUCUCUCAGAGAUCCAGAGCUAGUCCCAGGAAAAAGCAAAAGAGCCUCCAAGCACAUGGUUUUGACAUGUUCCUCGCCCACAAAGAGGAAGCUGUUUUCCUCGGAGAAAUGUUGCUUCACUGAGAAGCUGAUUCAGCAGCAAUCUGUUUGCAUCGCCACUUUGUGCAAAUAGAAGAUGAGUGACCUUGACCAGAACUCUCAGUGGUGGGUGACAACGUGAAGACUGGGUGAUGAUGCUCUCUCUCCCAGCCUCUUAGCCUAACCCCUCCAUGCCAACCUGCACAAGAGCAACCAAACCCAGGGGAACCCAAGUUUUCACAAAAACACUAAAUUCACUUCAAUCAGAACCAACUCCCACGUUCCCCAAAGAUACACAGUUCGGCACAGGGUUGGUCCUGUCUUUGGAAAGGAAGAUUACAAUGGUCACCUUGCUUUGAGGGAGCCCCAUGUGGCGAAUUACCUCUCUUCUGUGUGUGCCAAGAGUGAGGAUUCAGAGAAAACGGGGAACCUAAGACUGCAACCAAAAAAUGCACUCUUGGCAGACAUAAUGGUGACCAGUUAGCAUCAGAGGAUUUCAUCAUCUUUUCAUCCAUUUGCUCUCCUAAAGCUGACCGGAAGAUUGGAGCAGCUUUUUUGUUAUACCCUUUAGCUCCUUACCCUGAUGCUAUAUUUUGCUCUCUUAAAGCUUUUAGUACUCCCAGAUAAAUCAGAGUUUUUACAUCUCUGCCACUUUUUGCCAUCAGAAUACUUGGCAUCCUUAUCUAGGCCUGGACAUCCUAACAGCUCAUCUGCUUGUGUUCACAUUCUGCUGAGCUUUCUACCAAGCAGAGAGCUUUUCUGCAUUGAUAAGGUCCCAAUCCCAUUCAGCUUCUGAUCCGGUUUUCCAAACGUUUCCACUGAUCUCCUUAAGGGUAAGAAAGGGAAUGUCUUAGAAAUUGAGAGAGAAAGCUCUUAGAACCAUCCUUCCAUGGAAACAUUAGCUCAAAGUCAAGAAGCAGGGGGAUUUUUACAAGGUCUCCAAAUGACAGCACGUUGGUUUAGAACUCUCUGGAUGCUUUAAGUUUCUGUUGCCAAAGGGAUCAGAGUAGAUCCUGCCAAGUGUACAGAAUGCCUUUCUACCGCUAACAUUUGAGAACUAAAUUGUAAGACAAGGGUCAGCUCUGUAAAUUUCUAUGCAUAAGAUUUGCUCUUCCUUCACCUGUGACUCCAACUACUUAUUUUUUAAGUAUGUGGUACAGUGAAUCUCACUCGGUAACCCCGGGCAUCUCCUUGCGUAUUGCGUGUACUGGUAAUCCAGUUCACACUUAACUGCUAGAAGCAAAGUCACAGAGGAGGCCAGCUGGCCACCCCAUUUGAUAACAUGGUCAAGUUGGUUUGGGUACUCAGGGACGUUGAACCAUUAAUCUCCAGGGAACUUCUCUUUUUAAAGUUUUCUUCUCUUUUCCUCGAUUAAAAAAACAAAGAAUUUAAAAUGUGCCAUGCCUUGUUCUCUCUGUACAGUGGUUUUUAAACUGUCCUCUGUGGUAAUUUCAUGUUCCCACUCUUCCAUAGUGUAUGUCAGAGGCAGUGUAGCUCAGGGGUAAGAACGUAGCCUAGGGGCUCAAACUCCCUUCUGGGAUGGACGAUGUAUGUCACCUUGUGUGAGGCACUGCAUUUCCACACGGCUCAGCUUCUCUGUGUAUGAGGUGAAAUUCACAGGACUCCUCUCAUCAGAUAGUUCUUGUGAGAUGGAACUGGAAGCUCCAGCUUCAGAAGUCAACACAGAGUAAGACAUGUGGUUGAGGUCUGUGGAUGUUGGCCAUUACCAUUACCAAGAUCUCAUAUCUACCAACGCUUAGUACUCUUUCAAGCAGGUUCAUGUCCAUGAUCUCGUGGAACAGUGAGAAUAUUGUUCAAAAAGUAGGGGAAGGUGAUUUUAGGCACACUUGAAAGAGGAGAUGAUGGAAGCAACAAAGACAGUGAGGAAUUUGUCCAAGGCCACCAGUGAAUUAGCACCAUUUGAACCCAGAACUGGAUCUCUAAGAUGCUGAGUCUCUUGUACUUACUUUGAUUAGUGCUUCUGGGAAAUUACUGUAUGUUCAGUUGAUCUGGGAAUACUGUUCAAAUGCAGAUUCUAAUUAUGCUGCAUUUCCAAAAAGCUCCCAAAAGAUUGUGAUGCUGCUGGCCCCACCCGACCCCACUUGCAGUAGGGAAGGUCUGUAACCGGAUGUAUCAUUCUCCGGCAUUUCUGAUGCCUUGAUGCUCAUUUUCAACUGAAUUUGAGGAAAAAAAAAAAAAGUGCACCAGAAGAAUCAUGAAACAUAUCAUGGGCAUAACCCCCAAAGUUUCCCUUCUCUCACCACUGUGAUGUUAUGUGAGAAUUUCUUGCCACAAUACCCAUCGACCUUCACGGAAUCAGUAUAAACAGGCAACCAUAAACUUUGCUGCAGCCCACAAUCAAUAAGAAAAGUUUGUAUUCUGUUAGCUGUUCAGAAGUCCUGCUGGGACUCACAAUAGCCAGCCCCUCGCCCCCCAAUCCUUUCCCUUCAUUUACCACCAAGGAGCUCAUUCUCAAUGGGGAGCUCCAUCGAAAAGAACAUUGCUCUUUCUUCUGAAAACCGAUUGCUCCCUCUCCGCAUACAUUUGUUUUUCAUCUACACAGAUAGUUCAGCUCUUUUUGCUUUGUUGUGUAACCUAGGUAACCUCAACCAGCUAAAAUCAGAACUGCUUCCCACUUUGCGCAUGAAAUUUCAAACCACACCUGAGCUUUACGCAGGUCACGCAACAGAAAGGCAGACAAGGUUUUGCAGGAAGGGUGCCUUCUUCAAUCAGAGGUGGCUAGGAUGUCAUGGGUGCAAGGGCAGGUGUGCAGGAAAGGUUCAAGUGCAGCUUAUGCAGAUCCACUCAUCAAUAAGGCAUUUUCCUCCAUACUGUUGGGUGUUUGUGGGUUUUUUUGUUUUUUCUUUUUGUUUUUGUUUCUGGACUUUUACUUUCAGAUUUAGCUGGUCUUUAUCUAUUAGAGGAGAGAUCGGCCACCUUUUCCUGUAAAGGGCCAGGUAGUAAAUAUUGUUGCCUUUGCAGACUAUGAGAGUCUCUGUUGAAAAGCCUCAACUCUGCCUUGUAGCUCAAAAGCAGCUGGGAACAAUACGGUAACCACUUAGGCGAGGCGGUGUUCCAAAGAGACUUUAUUCAGGGAACCCAAUGUUAGGAUUUCUAUUAAUUUUCAUGUUUCCAAAAAUAUUAUUGUCCUUUGGACUUUUCUUUUCACCAUUUAAAAUGUAAAAACAUUUUGAAGAUUUCAGGCUGAAUGAAAACAUACCUAGUCUGCUGACCUCUCUGUUAGUUCUAUGAGGCCAGCCAAAGGCAACAUUCUCAUAUAUUGUGAUGAUAAGACUUAGAUGUAAAAUGGACUUCCAAAUUUCCGGCUGUUUCGGACGGCAGCUUUAAAGGAAACCAAAGCUGUGUGCCAGGAAGGGUUCGGAGUGGUCUGCAAAUGUUUUUUUUUCCAUGUUUCAGCAUGUAAUACAUCCUCAUUUUCUAGGGCUGUUUAGUUUGUGAAUGUGAAACCAUCAACUUCCUGUGUCAAUUUCAAGUAGCUCAACUUCCCUGUUUGUUUGAAUUCCUUUAGUGGGCCCUCAUCUUGUAUUUAUUUCUUUUAGCUCUGAGGGCUGACCAUAGUCAUAGCAAGACUUUGGAAAUGUAAGCUGUAAUUUUCUGCAGAAGAAUAUAUUCUGAACCAUUCAUUUCGCUGAAACCUUCUCAACUAUGUACUUUUAUUCUAGGAAUAAUGAUGAUAAUCAGGGCUCAUGGGGCAGCUCUUUAGCCCUUUGGUUUGUUCACAUUAUAGCUACAAGAACAUAGUGGGGGGCUUUUCAUGGAGGAGUUCAUGUAGAAUUUGUCUUUGUAAUAUGCACCUUCAACAAUGCAGGUGUGCUUUUUGAGUGUACACAAUUAUUCUACUCUCCUUUCAGAUAUUCUAAGCUUACUUUUCUUGUGUGUGUGUGUGUGUGUGUGUGUGUGUGUGUGUUUUGUUGGCCACGAUAUGCAGUGGCAAUGUGGGAUCUCAGUUCCCAGAUCAGGGAUCAAACUUGGGCUGCAGAGGUAAAAGCACUGAAUCCUAACCACUAGACCACCAGGGAACUCCUGUAUAUUUCUUUUCACAUCAGGCACAAUUACCUUUCAGAUUCCAUUCCACUAUCAUCAUACACAUUAACCUCCACAGCCUUCGCUGCAGGAAUUUCUCCCGUGGUCUACAAACACCUCAUCUGUUUAGCCCUCCCCUUUGUAACGCUAACUUCAAGCCCAGUCCAUAGGCCCUGUAGCCUGGGGCUCUUCUUUUCUAGCUUCUGUAAACCAUCACCUAAUUGUUCAUCUGACAGAUUGGAGACAGGUAGAGUAAGUCUGUUAACCAGAAUGUAUCUUUGGGACCCCAUAUUAUUAAUCUAUUUCUACUCAAAGAGAUUAUUUGGGCAGAGGGUCGGUAAGAAACUUCAGAAUCACUUUUGGACUUGGUUUUGUAUUCCAUUAAAAUCGCAUCAACUCUGGAGUUCCCUGGUGGCUUAGUGAUUAAGGAUCCGGCAUUGUCACUGCUGUGGCGCUGGUUCGAUCCCUGGCCUAGGAACUUUGACAGGCCACAGGUGCAGCCAAAAAAAAAAAGUCACAUUGACUCAGAACCACUGCCAAUGCCUUGCACUCUUUCCAGGAGGCAAGGUGCUGGGAUGGAGGGAUGAGAACAGUGGUUAGGUCCUCUUCAGGUAAUUUGCUUAUGUCCUGUUGCGCCGUGGGUGGGGGCACUGGGACAUAAAGGCUCUGUCAGAAGAGGGAGAGGAAGGAUGAACAUUCCCCAUAAGCUUUCAGAUCUCUGACAUUGGUGCUUCCCCUGCUUGGGGACAGUGCUCCCAAGAAUUCAAGCCCUGUCCCAACACCCUGCAGGAUCACGGAUGUCCCUGGGUGUUAGAACUCUAAAAGCAGAGCGUCCUAGAAGAAAGAAGAAAAAGGGCAAGAAGGCUAAGGGAGCAAAUCAGCAGUGUCAAAAAGGCCAAGCUCUUCAGUGUCUGUUUAAUUGCCAGUUCACAGAAUGAAAAAGAAACAGAAGAGGUACAUGUAGCUGCCAUGUCCUUGUGGCUCUCAGUGACGUAGGCUCUGAAGAAAGUUGAUUGAAAGAGAAGCACCAUCUCAUGGUGCACAGUGGGUUAAGGAUCCGGUGUUGCUGUGGCUCAGGUUUGAUCCCUGGCCUAGGAACUUCUGCAUACCACCAGUGCGGCCAAAAAAAAAAAAAAAAAAAA
rnacentral:lncRNA from 1 species